AUUGAACGCUGGCGGCAGGCUUAACACAUGCAAGUCGAGCGGGGAAGGUUGCUUUGGUAACUGACCUAGCGGCGGACGGGUGAGUAAUGCUUAGGAAUCUGCCUAUUAGUGGGGGACAACAUUCCGAAAGGAAUGCUAAUACCGCAUACGCCCUACGGGGGAAAGCAGGGGAUCUUCGGACCUUGCGCUAAUAGAUGAGCCUAAGUCGGAUUAGCUAGUUGGUGGGGUAAAGGCCUACCAAGGCGACGAUCUGUAGAGGGUCUGAGAGGAUGAUCCGCCACACUGGGACUGAGACACGGCCCAGACUCCUACGGGAGGCAGCAGUGGGGAAUAUUGGACAAUGGGCGGAAGCCUGAUCCAGCCAUGCCGCGUGUGUGAAGAAGGCCUUUUGGUUGUAAAGCACUUUAAGCGAGGAGGAGGCUCCUUUAGUUAAUACCUAAAGAGAGUGGACGUUACUCGCAGAAUAAGCACCGGCUAACUCUGUGCCAGCCGCCGCGGUAACAC
rnacentral:rRNA from 1 species